rnacentral:rRNA from 1 species
GACAGAGGAUGGCAAGCGUUAUCCGGAAUGAUUGGGCGUAAAGCGUCUGUAGGUGGCUUUUUAAGUCCGCCGUCAAAUCCCAGGGCUCAACCCUGGACAGGCGGUGGAAACUACCAAGCUGGAGUACGGUAGGGGCAGAGGGAAUUUCCGGUGGGGCGGUGAAAUGCGUAGAGAUCGGAAAGAACACCAACGGCGAAAGCAGCUCUGCCUGGGCCGAACACGUGACACUGAGAGACGAAGCUAG